GAGGGUGAUCAGAUCCACUCUCUCUGGAUCAUUAGAGAAAAAGGUCAAAGAUGUAUCACUGAGCUCUGACUCCAAACUUACCCACAACUGAGGGGCAGAAGGGUUAGAUCUGAGUUCCGGUUUGAAGAUACCUUUAUAUUUUAGCAAACUCUGUGCACUUAGCAGAAGAAAAAUUAUUACUUUAAGUUGCAGAAAUUUUAGGCAGACCAGGAGAAGCAAAAUAUUCCUCAUUAGCUUGCUGGGGUGUGUGGAGCUCUGUAAUUAGAGGUGCUCUGUUAAGGGCAGCAGCAGAAUGUCACUAGUGUAUUUACUGUGGAGAAAACUUGUCCUUCUGAGUUUUAGCAUUUAGCCAGAGCUAAUAGGGAGAGACAACAGGCAGCCUGCCCUGGACUGGACAAAGGGUAGAGGAGAGAAGGAGCCCUCCAACUCGACUUUCAGACCAGCCCUGGAAGCCAAGGGAAAGCCAGGGUUUGAGCAACUUGAGGGCCUUUUCCAUGCCAAGGGGUGACCUUUUUCCCUCGCCACCCUGAGAGGACAACUCAACAAUUUCUAAUGCUUGGGGGCAAAUGUAAGAAAAUAAAGCCCAGUGAUGACCUUGAGGAAGUUGUGGAUCUGCUGCAUGCUGCUGACAAAUGUUAGUUGCAGAUUCAGCUCUUGAUUUGAUUAUUGCUCAAGAAGGGGUUCUUUGCCACUCUUCACAUGCAACUCAGAACUGGAAUUAUAUUAAAAAAGAACAAGGAAAAUGAAGCCUUACCUGCUGGAAUUAUGUGACGGGGCCUUCAGGUUGCCUCAAACUGGAAUAGCUUCACUGUAGGGAGAAAAUGAAGCCGGAUUCUGAUGGCCAGAUGCCAAUGAAAAUUGGAAAAAUGUAGACAGAAAAAUGUAAAUGAAAAUUGAGAGCUGUUUAAGAAGGGUUUACAAGAUGGCCAAAAAGUCGUCAUUCUACAGUUGUGGCAGAAGAUCUUCAGCCUGUCACCUGGCCUGGAGAAUCGGCAGCAUGGUGAACAGGAAUUCGAGGGAGGAGAGGGGCAUUCUGAGAAUGGAAGCACUAACGGCUGUGAAGUGGCCAGGUACGACGAUGAUGAGCACACCUGAAAGACUUCUAAUAAUCCAGUCUGAUGGAUAUGGAUGGAUAACUGGCUAAACCCACAUGAGACAAGAAAGGUUAAAACCUCACAGACAAACAGAGAUGAAUAAAAGCAUUUUUGCCACCACUGAAGAAUCCAGCAGCUGUUGGAAAUCUGGGAUCGUUUGUAGAUUGCGGCUUUUAGUGAGAAAGCAUAGGCACAACAGCCCAACUCCAUCCCUGGGAAGCAGAACACAGUCUUUGCAAAACUCUCUGGGUGCUUCCUACUGCCUACAAGUAUCAGAUUUGUCUUAUCUGUAUUAUUAUUAUUAUUUAUUUGUAUUAGGAGCCCGGGUCAUGAACUAGGACCCCACUGUGCAAGGCACUGUAGAAACACAGAACAAAAAAUCUCUGCCCCAAGGGGCUUACAAUGAAUGAGCUUCAGCCUACUCACUGUCAUUCCUACUCUGGUCUCAACUAGGCAAUGGGGAAGCAAGUAGUCUAAAUGCGGGUGAUGAAUAGAGAUGAGGAGGUAAUUGUCGUCCUCAUGCUCGUGAUGUCACAGCCCAAAAUAUCUAGUUUCUUGAGUAUGAUCUUAAAAACCGUUAGUUGUUUGAAGGAAAGUCACAAUUUGUGUUAAUCUCUCUAAAAAAUGGCCCCAACAUUCUUCUCUGACCUGCUUUUAGUAGCCUGGGCCUAUAUUGCAGUUUAUAGCUCUCCUAGUGCCACUGCAUUCUCACAGAGUCCCAAUCUAGACUAUAUUGCAGUUGCUUCUCUGCAACACAACCUCUUCACAGAGCCCACCAGCAUGAGCUGAAUCUAGCUGAAACAGAGAACAGUGAGAAACAGCUGAUUCUCUUUUGAAGCAGAGUCAUUUCAGAGUCACUACGGUAUUAUCACCCAUUUAGGGCCUUUAGAAACUCCCAUAAUUUUUGUUAGCAUCUCUCAAAACUGCAGAAGCACUGUUACAACUUCAGGGCAGUGUUAGGUGGGAUAGGGCCCUCCUCAAAGCCCACUAAAGCCAAUGGAAAGACUCUCUUUGGACUGCACUGGACAUUGGAUCAGAAGUGGGUUGUUAAAAUGCUGGUGGCAGAUCUACAAUAGUGCCAUGCUAGGGAUUUAGUGGAAUAGUAGGAGAUUUUAGCAAAACUGCUGUUGUAGAUUAGGCUCAUGACAAGCUGAGAGUUCUGAGUGGGAAGCAUUCCAGUUUUUUUGUUUUUUUUUUUUAAAUAAACAGUUGUACUUCUUUAUCCAUGUCUACUGGGCUGUCAUAUACUUCCAAGACAGGGAUGCUUGUGAGAGGUUUUUGGCUAUGUUGAUGCAUCCUUUGGCUUUGUACUCUAGCUAAGCAAACCAGAGAUUAAUUUGCCUCUUAGUUUAUUUGCUCUGUGUGUGUACACACACACACAC